rnacentral:rRNA from 1 species
UACGGAGGGUGCAAUCAUUAAUCGGAUUUAUUGGGCGUAAAGGGCGCGUAGGCGGAGUGAACAGUCAGAUGUGAAAUCCCGGGGCUUAACCUCGGAACUGCAUUUGAAACUCUCAUUCUUGAGGGUAGACGGAGAAAGCGGAAUUCCACAAGUAGCGGUGAAAUGCGUAGAUAUGUGGAAGAACACCGGUGGCGAAGGCGGAUUUCUAGUUUAAACCUUACGCUGCGGCGCGAAAGCAAGGGGAUCAAACAGG